rnacentral:rRNA from 1 species
UACGAAGGGGGCUAGCGUUGCUCGGAAUGACUGGGCGUAAAGGGCGCGUAGGCGGAGUGCUUUGUCGGGCGUGAAAUUCCAGGGCUCAACCUUGGGGCUGCGUUCGAGACGGGCAUUCUAGAGUGGAGAAGAGGGUCGUGGAAUUCCCAGUGUAGAGGUGAAAUUCGUAGAUAUUGGGAAGAACACCAGUGGCGAAGGCGGCUCACUGGUCCGGUACUGACGCUGAGGUGCGAAAGCGUGGGGAGCAAACAGG